UACAGAGGUCUCAAGCGUUGUUCGGAUUCAUUGGGCGUAAAGGGCGCGUAGGCUGCGGGGCAAGUCGGGUGUGAAAUCUCAGAGCUCAACUCUGAAACUGCUCUCGAUACUGCUUUGCUCGAGGACUGGAGAGGAGAUUGGAAUUCACGGUGUAGCAGUGAAAUGCGUAGAUAUCGUGAGGAAGACCAGUGGCGAAGGCGGAUCUCUGGACAGUUCCUGACGCUGAGGCGCGAAGGCCAGGGGAGCAAACGGG
rnacentral:rRNA from 1 species